rnacentral:rRNA from 1 species
UACGUAGGGGGCUAGCGUUGUCCGGAUUUAUUGGGCGUAAAGAGCGUGUAGGCGGCCAGGUAGGUCUGGUGUGAAAGCUCGAGGCUUAACCUCGAGAUGUCAUCGGAAACCAUCUGGCUAGAGUCCGGAAGAGGAGAGUGGAAUUCCUGGUGUAGCGGUGAAAUGCGCAGAUAUCGGGAAGAACACCCGUGGCGAAGGCGGUUCUCUGGGACGGUACUGACGCUGAGACGCGAAAGCGUGGGGAGCGAACAGG